rnacentral:rRNA from 1 species
CGAGCGAAGCGUAUUAGCGGAAGUUUUCGGAUGGAAGCGGAUAUGACUUAGCGGCGGACGGGUGAGUAACGCGUGGAUAACCUGCCUCAUACAGGGGGAUAACAGUUAGAAAUGACUGCUAAUACCGCAUAAGCGCACAGGACCGCAUGGUCCGGUGUGAAAAACUCCGGUGGUAUGGGAUGGAUCCGCGUCUGAUUAGCUGGUUGGUGAGGUAACGGCCCACCAAGGCGACGAUCAGUAGCCGACCUGAGAGGGUGGCCGGCCACAUUGGGACUGAGACACGGCCCAAACUCCUACGGGAGGCAGCAGUGGGGAAUAUUGCACAAUGGGGGAAACCCUGAUGCAGCAACGCCGCGUGAGUGAAGAAGUAUUUCGGUAUGUAAAGCUCUAUCAGCAGGGAAGAAGAAAGACGGUACCUGACUAAGAAGCCCCGGCUAACUACGUGCCAGCAGCCGCGGUAAUACGUAGGGGGCAAGCGUUAUCCGGAUUUACUGGGUGUAAAGGGAGCGUAGACGGCUGUGCAAGUCUGAAGUGAAAGCCCGUGGCUCAACCGCGGAACUGCUUUGGAAACUGUAUGGCUUGAGUACUGGAGAGGCAGGCGG